AAACGUUCGCUUCCGGUCAAGUGUACGCGAAUCUACUGCGGUAGUCGUACAUGUUUAUUGCAAACCAGCCGUAAUCGUGCAUUAGAUCUUUUGGCUGGUAUUCAUAGUAGGAUCUUAUAUUUAAGAUCAUCUUGAAGUACUGUCUUAAGAUGCCAUCAGCCAAUCACAGAGCCGUAUUAGCAUCUUAAGACAUUGCUUAAGACGGUCUUAAAAUAAGAACGUGAAUACCGCCCUCAGACUCAUUGUAGUUAUACUCCAUUUUGAAUUAAUAUAUACAAUAUUUUCUUCGCAUUAUUUUAAUGACAGAUUUUCUGAACAUGAGACAAAAAAUACAGACAAUCUGUUAUUGUAAAACAAUGCAUAAAGAAGAAUAUAGAACAUCCUGUAAAUUAUAAUAUAACAUUUUUCUGCAUUAAUAGUCCUUUUUUGUUUAGGUGAAAUACUUCAGUUACAUUGGUGGUUUCAAUUUGAAGAAAGCUGUAAACCGGUGUUUCAAAGAAGGUUUCACAGAUGCUUUGGCAUCUUCUUUUACUUGGUGGGGAGAGACACGAGGAUGAUGAAUGGCGUAAACAGCCAUUGUAUAAUGCCCGAUUUAUAACAGCAAUUUAUGAUAAAAUAAGCCAUAUGUAGGAAUAGAUAUUUUGAAAAACCAACUCGCUCAGUUCCAAGCUUGUAUGAAAGAGGCUCUUCGUACAGCGAAGGAAAGGCAUCGAAGCCGAAUUCGUGGCCCACGUCCGCGAAGAGCUGCAAGAGAACAGAUCCAUAGAGAUCUUUGGAAUAACGAGAGAGAGGAUGAUGAUAAUGAGAACGAUGAAAAUGAGGAGUCCAACGAUUAAAGCAUUAGUGUUAUUUCAUUUUUCUGUUUAGAUUGGGCUCGGUACUACGGACAACUACGGAUUAGAUUGGGCUAGAUACUUAUUGAGAGAAUCAUUCUUGUGCUUUCGUUCAAAGAAGUUCUCGAAAAGAACAUAUGUAUUGUAAGAUAUUUAUUGUAAAUACCGUUAAAAUGUAAAAGAAACUACAGAUGUCGUGGAAAGUGCGCUUCGAGACAGCGCAGCGCUGCAAGCGAGGAUUGGCGCUGAUGUGCUAGACUUCCGGUAGCCAGCUUCAGGUUCGGGCUACAGGCAGUGAAGUUGAAGUGCGUCCGGCGAGAUCACUCUCCUCCUUCGCAAAGGGAACUGAGGUGCUUGCUUUUGCGGUUCAAUUUCUUUGUUAUUUGGAUUGGCCGCUGACUAUUUGACAAUCUACUGCUGGUUCUACGCUAUAGAAGUUUACGUGACAGGUAUGCUUUAUUCAACACAUAAACUUAAAAUUAAUUCAGUUUUAUCAUAUUUUUUUAAGAUAUAAUUUGAAUUUGUUAACUAAUUAUACAAUUUAUACUUUAUUUCAUAACUUAAAUCGAGUCAUAAAUAAAAAAUGCUACUAAUAUUUUGUAACAUAAUACAGAGAAAAGUAAUGCAAUAACGAACGCUAACAUGUAAUACAAUUUUCUUUACUUUGUAAAUUGAAUUUUAAUUCAUUCAAUGUACAAAAUUUGCAUAAUUGACUUAAUUGUCUAUCUCGGAAUCAACAUUUUUAUACAUAUUAUCAUUAUGUUUUUGCAGCAUAUUUUGUGGAACAUUAAUAUCAAAGCAAGACUUGUUUUUUAAAUUAAGAUAGUUCUUACAUGGAGAAUACCACAAAGGGUCUUUGUUGACAAACGGUUUCUCACUUUUGUUUUAUUUAAAUUAAUAGUGCUAAAAAUUCAUUCCACUGCUGCACUACUAUGUGGAAGAGUCAAAAUCAUAGAUACAAAUGUGCAAAUAUUUGAAAAAGUUUUUGUACCAUCACCAUUUUCUAUUUUAUUAACGUUUUCCCAAAAAGUCAAAAAAUUAUCCUCUCUAGAUAAAGUUUCGUCAUUUCUUAACAAAUGCCAAUCAUUAUCAAGUUCAUUAAUAUUUAAAUUAAAUAAACUUUUAAAAUGUGUAGCAAUAGGUGCUAUAGUAACUAUUUUAUCCAUAUUUCUUGGAUCAAUAAAUUCUAAAUUUUUUAUUUGUGAAACAAAAUCUGACUUAAAAAAAACCGUUUAUACAUCUGAUGUGCACAUUCAAUGUAAAAAUUUAAACAGUUAUUUUUAAAAUUAUUUUUUUCAUUUGAAGAAAUGUUUUGAUUAUUUGCUAAUAUAGCCAUACAUUCUCCACCAAAAUAAAUAUUUUCUAGUUUUAAGAAAAUAAAGGAUUUUUGUAUUGGAUAACAGAUAAAUCAUUAUUUUUUAAAUAUUGACUAUCAAUAUAAUUUCUAACAAUGUUUUAUAAACUGUUGCAAUUUUUUAAUAUAAAGUGUGUAUUUUAGAUGUUUCAGAUUGAAAUUCCAAUUUUAAUUUUGUUAAAAAAGGUAAUACGUAAUUUAAGAAAUGUAAAUAUAAUUUUACAAGAGGAUCUUUUAACUUAAUAAAAAUUAAAUCAGCUUUUUUAUCAAUUAAAUAUUCUCCUUGAAAAUAAAGAGUUAAACUUUCAUAGUGUUCUAAUAUACGUACGAUACAUGCAUGAAAAGAUAACCAUCUAAUUCGAAACUUUUGUAAUAUUUUAUGCGGUUUUAAUUCUAAAAAUUUUUGGAAUUCUUUAAAUGUACUUUGUCUUUUUCAACUAAAUUGUACGUAAGUAUAAAUGUCUCGAACUAAUUCAUCUACAUAAGUUGGUAACUUUUCAGAUGCAUAAGAAGCACAUAAAGCCAAUGAAUGACAAGUACAUUUUAAAAUGAAUAUAUUUGGAAUAUCAUUUUUAAGUAGUGAUUGAAAUGAAUGGUUAGCAUCCAUCAUUACAUUGGCUCCAUCUGCCCCUAAUCCUAUUAAUUGCUUUUUAUAGUCAAUAGAAUUUUCAAUAAAAAAAUUAGACAGCACUAUAUAAAUUUUGAGCUGUUGGUUUACUUAUUGGUAAUAAACAUAAAAACUCAUCUCUAACAAUAAAAUUAUUUACCAUCCUUACGACAAUAGCUAAAUGUUUUAUAUUUGAACAAUUCGUAGAUUCAUCCACAAUAAUAGAAAAUUUGUUAUUAUUCAUACGAGCAAAAAGAUCUUCAAGUAUUCCAAGGCCCCAAACAUUUCUUAUUAUUGCAUUGCAUUUUGUUCUAUUGCACGAUAUGUUUUUAGGAACUUCACUAUCUUUGGAUAUGUCUUUAAUUAAGCUGACUAGAUGAUCUGUUGUUUGAAAUGAAAUAUUAUGUUCAAUAAUAAACAUUGCUAUUUUCAUUUCAGCAGUCUUGAUGUCCUUAUUAAGAUUCAUAUUUCGAGAUAUCGAAGACAUAUUAGGCAUAGAUAUUGUAUUUUUAAUAGCAUUAAAUUUACUAACAUGUUUCUUCGAUAAACCAUGCUUUUUUACAGCCGAUAUUUCAUCUAGAUAGUCUUCAUGGCACACUUUACAAUAAAAAUAUAAAUUACUUCUUGUACUUGAGGCAAUCCAAAAUUUAAAUUCUUCGUGCGUUUCCCAGCUACUGUUGUACAUGUGAAUAAAUUUUUUCUUAUUUUUCAAAAUUGAUGGUGAUGCUUUAAAAGUGCGUAAUUUUUCUUCUUUGGUAUUAUACCCAUCAUGAUCAGAUUGACAUUCUGACAUUAUGAAAUGUUAUCUAUAAAAGAAGUUGUCAAUAUUAAACUAAUAUUAUUAUUUUACAUUAACUAAUUCUUAUAACAUUAUAUCUUGUAACUAAUAAAAAACACCUUUAAUAAACUUGUUGAUUGAGUUAUAAUCAAGAUAUGUAAACCUGUAGUAUCGUAGAUAAAACUUUCUGCAAUUGUAAAAUUUGAAAACUUACAUGACAUUGAAUGUUACCAUUACAAGCGAAAAUAUCGGUGUUAAUGAGACAAGCCACUACCAAAAAAUAUAUACUGGGAAAAAAUAUACUAUUAUCGUGUUUUUUUAUCUUAAUUAAUUGUUUUGACAAGCUUCGGAUUCGGCACAAACAUUGACAAUGUACUAGACUAGAUUGACUCAUCAAUCUAUAAAAGAAAUUGAUAAAAGUGAGAACAAUAGAACGCGAAGAUGGCUACUCUAUCACUUUCAGACUUUUUAUUGCUUUUUAUUUAUUAGUGGUAUUCUAUCUGAUGAAGGAUUUUGUCUAUAGACACAUAUCUAUGAUUUUGUCCUCAGCAGUUUUUGACCUAGCAGUUUUCUCUAGCUGUUCGUAGAGGACGAUAAUUUUUCACCAAUUUAUUCCCACUUAUAUAAAAUCCUCAAUUUGGAAAAAAAUUUCUUCAUUAAGUUAAGAAAUACCCAAUUUGGGGAAAAAUUCCCACACCUGGCAACACUGAAGGGGUGUUUUUGGGCGAAGGGGUAGAGAUACGACUCCGCGAGCUUGACCAUUCAAAAGCACUUAAAAAGCACCUAAUUAUGGAACUCUUUUGGUUUUUUUAGGGCUCUUCCUUUUGUGAUAUUAGUUGGAUGAGAAUUUCCGGAAAAACGGGAAAAACACCUAAAAAGCACGUAAUUCUCAUGCUAUUGUUUUCAUUUUUAAUGACGUUGUUCUUCCAGCUUAAUAGACGUGCAAAACAAAUAAUGGCCAAAGUUUCAAUUUGCGAGGUUGGGAGUACACCGGACAAGAAGAUAUAGAGACACCAACCUCGUUGCUUGGCUUAAAAUGGAACAAGAUUGAAGAUACGCUCGGGUUUUCCACGUUUUUACUCAAAUCACAUACGAGUUCGCGAAUUACGAAGAGAACAAUAUUAUCUGUAGCUCAACGUGUAUUUGAUCUUAUUGGAGUUACGUGCCCUGUAUUUUUAAAACCGAAACUUUUAUUACAGAAUCUUUGGUCACGCAAGAUUAAUUGGAAUGCUGCAGUACUUGAGGAUGUGGAGUAAAUUACGUUCCACGAGUGGUAACAACAUCUCAACUAGUUAGAGAAAAUACACAUCCCACGCUAGGCUUUUCGACACAAUGAGACAAGCAAUCUAUCUUUCCAUAUAUUUGUGAACGCUAGUCAAGAUGCAUACGCGACAACUUUAUUUGCCCAAACAGAAGAGAUUGAAGACGUCUACGUUCAACUCAUCGAGGCCAAGAGUAGAGUAGUCCCAAUAGGACAGACAACAAUUCCAAGACUAGAGCUGCUUGCUGCUACAAUUGAGCAUGCUUGUGGCACACGAUAAAAAGCGCCUUAAAUUUUAAUACAGCACAAGUUUUCUUUUGGAUGAAUUCCACUACUGUCUUGGCAUAGAUCCUCAGAGAUAAACCUUGGAAUACGUUCGUUUAUAAUCGAGUAAAGGAAAUACGCAGGUUAUCAGAUUCUGAUCAAUGGUGCCAUGUACCAGGAAACAUGAAUCCGGCUGAUCUACCUUCGCGAGGAUGUACAGCUAAACAAUUGAUGGAAUCACGAUGGUGGGAGGGCCCGGCAUGGCACUAACUAUCAAAAGAAUAUUGGCCUGCAACUGAGUAUACGUCCAAUGAAGUUGAGGUCAUCAGCAAAAUCAAGAAGUUAGCAGAUCAUAACGCAGUCUCUCCAGAUAAUAUUUUGAUAAAAGAGAUGUCGAUGCUCCCUUUAGAAAAAAAGGAAGGCUGGUACAUGAAAAAACAGUUUAAAUACUUAAAAAUAGUACGGACCAUAGCAUGGAUUCUUCGUUUUGCCAUUAAUUGUCGAGCUCCACGCUCUGAAAAAAUAUCAGGAGAAUUAAAAGAGUUUGUUGCAGCAGAACUUACAGUCCUGAGAUUACGUCAACAAGAAUCCUUUAGUAAUAGAGAUGAGCCACGAUUGAGUACUUUGGAUAUCUACACAUAUGAAAAUGGAUUGCUGCGACUGAAAUCACCUGUUACCAAUCGUAAAAAUGAAUAUAAUUUUCGACAUCCUAUUAUAUUGAAUCGCAAACACCCCUUGGUCACGAGGUUAAUCGAGUAUAAGCAUCAACAACUUGGCCAUUCAGGAGUUUAGAUUGUAAUGAACAAUUUAAGAGAAGCAUUCUGGAUUAUUUCCAGCAGAGUAGCGGUACAGUCAGUUAUCAGACAUUGUUCAAUAUGCAAGAGACACAAUACCAAGAAAUUAGAAGCCACUAGUGGUGACUUGCCGACUGAACGUGUUAAGGAUACUAGAAUUUUUCAAGAAACAGGAAUCGACUACAUGGGCCCUCUGUUUUUAAAAAAAUCACAGAAGGCGUGGAUUUGCCUAUUUACUUGCGCUGUUUAUAGAACGAUCCACUUGGAGCUUACUACUUCUCUUUCCACAGAGGCCUUUCUGCAAGUCCUACGCAAAUUUAUCGUGCGAGAAAGACCUUCGAUGAUCUACACGGACAACGGGACUAAUUUUGUUGGAGCUCGUAAUUUACUCCACAAAAUUGAUUGGAACAAAGUUCAACAAUUUAGCUCAGCACAACGGAUAGAAUGGCGCCUCAAUCCUCUUUUAGCAGUCUGGUGGGAAGGAUGGUGGGAGCGCUUAGUUAAAAUAGUUAAGGAUCUACUCAAGCGGAUUCUGAAAAAAGCAUGUUUAUACUAUGAAUAGAUGAGCACAAUUUUAUGUGAUUGCGAAGCCAUUGUUAAUUCAUGUCCGCUAACGUACUUUGUCGAGGAUCCAACCCAGUUAACACCCUUAAAACCUAUGAUGUUUUUAUUAGAAGCUUCUCAGAACGAGACACCGGACUUGGAUAAACUAGAAGUUAAUCUGAAUGAGCGAAUGCGAUAUCGUCAAAGUUUACGGGACAAUUUAUAAAAAUGUUUUUGCUCAGAAUAUCUGGGAUAACUCUUUCUGCGAAAAAUCAAGGGCAGUAGUAUCACAAUUAAAGAAGGCGAUAUUGUCCUACUGGGCCAAGAUAAUUUAAAACGGUUGGACUGGCCAUUGACCCGAGUAAUUAAGAUAUUCCCAGGAAAAAAUGGAGUUACCCGGGUGCUCAAAGUUAAGACUGCCAUGGGCGAGUUCAUACGACCGAUUCAACGGUUGUAUCCGUUAGAGACGUCUUCACCAACAAUGGAGACCUCGGAGAAAUUGACUAACGAGACGGGCCAGAUCGAGAAGAAGAUAUUAGCUGACGAAACGGACCAGAUCAAGAAGGAAAAUAAGGAAGUCAUCCCGCAAGACACUUCAACACAGAAAUAGUUCCAUAUUCGUAAUGGUAGACUCGUGAAAGCCUCUGACAGAUUCGGGAUUUAAUUUAAAUCUUUUGUUUUAUUAGUUUUCCUUUAAAGUCUAGAGUUUGUUUAAAAGUUUAUUUAAAAGUUUGUUUCUUUUAAGUCUCAAAUCGAGUUUUGUGCAAUAUAAGUUUCUUUCACAACUCAAGGUGGGAGGAUGUUAGAAAUUGUUCUUUUGACUGGCGUAGUCGCUUAGAGAUCGGCAGAACGACUGCGCUUACCUGUGCAUUACAUGGUGGAUCGUGCGCUUGCUCGUCCGCUCGACAUUGUAUAAGACAAUCGUACGCGUAAUAAAGAUGUUAGUAAUUUAGCAGCCCAUCCUGUGUGUGUAUUAAUUCCUCGAAGAAAGCAACAAUUAUCGUAAGACUGGCCUCUACAAUUAGAUAUGUCAAUAUCUAAGUCAACAAGUGUUUUAGUGACGGUUUCUGCUAACUCCUGUGAUUUGUGUCCUGUAUUUGGAAGAAACGUAAUAAAACGUUCUAUUGGUAAACCACAUUCUUGACCAUAUCUUGUAAUGAAACAAUUGAUCAAUAUGUGAUAUAUCGGGGGUCGAGUCUACUAUUACAGAAUAAUAUUUCACUUUUUUAAUUUCCGCAAGAAUAGUCUCUUGUGUCUUCUUGGCCAUUAGCUGAACUAAUUCUUCAUAAAUCGUUGCAGACAAAUAAUUAGUGUGCUCACUUACCAUAUCUUUUAAUGUGUUUGGCCAAGAAAAGGUCAAAUUGUGAGAUAAAUUCCAGUGCCAUAAAAAAGUUUCUAUUCCUGAGUGAUCCAAACUUUUCUUCGUAACCUUUCAAUGAAAGUGCAUGGCUAGAAAGUGACUUCACAACAGCUACCACCCUUUCUAACACUUUUCUCCAAUAAGAUAUUUCUUCAUCUAAUUGCUUUGUCAACAUUCUAUCAACUUGUCCUAUUUUGUUUUCUCUUAUUUUUAAAGUUAAUAUAGAUGAUUUAUGAAAACUGGAAUUUUCGUGACAUUCUACAGAUUUGAUCAUAUUUUUCUAGUCGUUGAAACCUUCUUUUGCAAAAUAGUUAUUUACAUUUAAUAAUCGACAUGGUCCACAAAAUACACAAUUUGUACUUUCAAAGUACAUGAGCCACAUUCUGGAUCUUUUUUCACCAUUUAAUAAUUUAGGUUGAAAUAAACUCGAUGAAAAAUAGUGUGCUUGAUGCAAAACAUUCUCGUUUCGACAAUUUAAAAUCAGCAUCUGUAUUUUGUAUAAAUCCAUUGACAGCAAAAUAAUCGCAAGUUAGUUCAUUUAAUAUCUAUUUAGCCGGGUCUUUAUCAUAUGUAUUCACAAUCUCGUUUAGGGAUGAGAGCUUGGGGAUACGAAAAGAAAUUAGAAGAGGGAGGAGGUGGAGAAUUAGCAAGAAGAUGUUGGAAAGAGAUAAAGAAAAGAGCAAGGGAGGAUAGAGCAAAGACAGGUUGGGAGGAAAAGAGACAGAGAUUUUAUGAGGAAAGAGGCUGGAGAGUAGAGGAAGUAGAGAGAAUGAGAGAAAAGGGGAAGUUAAGAGGGGAGAAAAUGAUAAAGAGAGAGAAGAAUAGGCAGAGGAGGGAGAGAUGGAAGAGGAUUAGAAGCUCGCAUUUCAAUAGGUGGUACGGAAGAAUCAAAGAUGAGGGUAUUCCAAAUUACUUAAGGGGCUACAUAUCCCCAGAAAUUUUGAAAAAAUAGAUUUUUCGUUUUUUGCAUAUUCGUAAAGUAUAAGGUCUUGAGAAUAUCCCCUGCAAGUUUCAAAGUGAUUCCUUGAAAAUUGUCGGAGAUAUAGCGAGAAAGGUCCAAGAGCGUUUGACGAUGCUGGGGCGCGAUGGGUGCCUUCUAAUCCUUCGCAGCAGGUAGCUUACGCAAAAAUAUUACGCCGGCAGGUUAGAAUCGAAGCCUUUGAUGCCGCUACAUCUGGGGAGGGUUCACUGUAUGGCUCUAGAGUGGAUGACUCCAUGUAAGUUUGAAAAAAGAUUAUCUACGUUUUAACCGAAUGUCAAACUUUAAACGCGUUUUUCUCGAAACCAUGUUUUCAAAACGCAUGCCAAAAAUAUCUUGGAAAUGGCUGGACUGUUUUACUUAAAAUUUGGAGGGCUUAAUCUACACAAAAAAGGCAGUUAUUAUCGUGGCGGGUUUUUUAGAGCUCUUACUUUUUUUAAAGUUAAAAAAAGACCGAUUUUUAUCCUAAAAAAUCGCUUUUUUUCUUUAAACGGCUGCCAUUUUGCAAAAAUUGGUAUUUUAAAAAUCAGCCACGAUAAAGACUAAUAUCAUUCUGUUUAAAAAAAUUCUAGGCUGGUCUGUUUCAGAUAAGUCCUGUACGAGCUGCAAUUGGCACCGCGGAGCACCUUUUUUCAACAAGGUCUUGCGACGAGGACAAUAUCUCCGCCAUUUUUGAAUAUUUUUAGUUCAAAUUUAUUCUGAAACAUGUUCUAAAAAUGUAUUUUAAAGUAAAGAAAACUAAGAUUAAUUACACACAUUACGUUUCGAAAAAAAAAAUGGAGAAAAAGGCCUAUUUUUUACGUCUCUGGGUGUAUGUAGCCUCUUAAAGAGAAAUUGGGAGGAGAAAAGGUGGCAAGGAGUAGCUUUCUCCUCAUAAGCCUCGUCCGGGUCGGGAUGUCUCCGGCUCCUGCGUCCUCUUACACUCUUGGAUUGCUCGGGAUUCGGAUCGUACACGACACCGCAGCUUGAGUGAUUGAUUCUGGAUUCUACGGCGGCCGCUCGGCUACACGCCCCACCUUGUCUCUGAUAAGCCGGGCCCUUAUUGGCCGUGAUUUUUUAAAUUCGACUUGCGCGCAACGUGUAACGUGCACGCCGCCACUUGCUGACUGAUCCAAGUGCGAUGAUCCAUAUUUUUGGGCCCCAUACACGGGAAUUUUUGCGCUCUCCUCUGGAGCAGUUUCCUGUCUCCUUGCCGGGCGCAUCCUCCGCCACCGGGAUGUUAUAUCCUCCUCGACGAGGGCGUACAAUUGAUUGCAAGCUGUCGCCAUCGUUGCCCGAACUCGUGCGGGAUCGCUCCGUCGGGACACCGACCCUGUGCGCCUUCGCUGGAUCCUGAAAGCGCGAUUUGACAGCAGUAUCGGAAUUCUCACGCGAUAAAAAUUGUAGGCAAGAUAAGGGCGGUAUUACCUGCGGACCCCCGCUCGAAAAGGGUUGUUGCAAAUUCCUCGUUGAUAGCUCUUUCUUGGCGACUUCCGGGAAGGUCUUUCCGUCGAGACGAGACGUCAAAAUUUACAAAGUAGGUCUUCAUGGCCACCAAUUCCCGCCACACUCGUGAUGUAGCACUCGCAAAAAUCUUAAUGAUCAGUGAACGGACAGCACAUGGGACGACACAUACAGAAAAUGACAUAUCACGCUUCCGCGUCCGCUCCCGAGCGGGAGGACCCGCGUGGUGUUAACGCGUAAGGGCCGAUAAGGCCCUUGUGGCGGAC
rnacentral:lncRNA from 1 species